rnacentral:rRNA from 1 species
AGAACGAACGCUGGCGGCGCGCUUAACACAUGCAAGUCGCACGCCCCUUUCGGGGGGAGUGGCGCACGGGUGAGUAACGCGUGGGAACCUGCCCUGGGGUUCGGGACAACCGCGGGAAACUGCGGCUAAUACCGGAUACGACCAUUGGUGAAAGGGGGUAACCCCGUCCUGGGAUGGGCCCGCGUCCGAUUAGCUUGUUGGUGGGGUAAUGGCCUACCAAGGCUUCGAUCGGUAGCCGGUCUGAGAGGAUGAUCGGCCACACUGGGACUGAGACACGGCCCAGACUCCUACGGGAGGCAGCAGUGGGGAAUCUUGGACAAUGGGCGCAAGCCUGAUCCAGCGACGCCGCGUGGGUGACGAAGGCCUUCGGGUUGUAAAGCCUUUUCCCGGGGACGAUGAUGACGGUACCCGGGGAAUAAGCACCGGCUAACUCCGUGCCAGCAGCCGC